rnacentral:rRNA from 1 species
GACGAACGCUGGCGGCGUGCCUAACACAUGCAAGUCGAACGGAAAGGCCCUGCUUUUGUGGGGUGCUCGAGUGGCGAACGGGUGAGUAACACGUGAGUAACCUGCCCUUGACUUUGGGAUAACUUCAGGAAACUGGGGCUAAUACCGGAUAGGAGCUCCUGCUGCAUGGUGGGGGUUGGAAAGUUUCGGCGGUUGGGGAUGGACUCGCAGCUUAUCAGCUUGUUGGUGGGGUAGUGGCUUACCAAGGCUUUGACGGGUAGCCGGCCUGAGAGGGUGACCGGCCACAUUGGGACUGAGAUACGGCCCAGACUCCUACGGGAGGCAGCAGUGGGAAUAUUGCACAAUGGGCGGAAGCCUGAUGCAGCAACGCCGCGUGCGGGAUGACGGCCUUCGGGUUGUAAACCGCUUUCGCCUGUGACGAAGCGUGAGUGACGGUAAUGGGUAAAGAAGCACCGGCUAACUACGUG